rnacentral:tRNA from 2 species
CGUAGUAUAGCUUAAUCUAAAGCCCCCCGCUUACACCGAGGAAACAUCUGUUAGACUCAGAUUACUCCGA